CCUACGGGAGGCAGCAGUAGGGAAUAUUGCUCAAUGGGGGAAACCCUGAAGCAGCAACGCCGCGUGGAGGAUGAAGGUUUUCGGAUUGUAAACUCCUUUUGUUAGAGAAGAUAAUGACGUUAUCUAACGAAUAAGCACCGGGUAACUCCGUGCCAGCAGCCGCGGUAAUACGGAGGGUGCAAGCGUUACUCGGAAUCACUGGGCGUAAAGAGCGCUGAGGCGGGAUAGUAAGUCAGAUGUGAAAUCCUAUGGCUUAACCAUAGAACUGCAUUUGAAACUGUUAGUCUAGAGUAUGGGAGAGGUAGGUGGAAUGCUUGGAGUAGGGGUAAAAUGCGUAGAGAUAAAGAGGAAUACUCAUUGCGAAGGCGACCUGCUAGAACAUAACUGACGCUGAUGCGCGAAAGCGUGGGGAGCAAACAGGAUUAGAUACCCUAGUAGUC
rnacentral:rRNA from 1 species